rnacentral:rRNA from 1 species
UUCCAUAUCCAUAUUCGCUGAAGCUAAGCAGGGCUGUGCCAGGUCAGUACCUGGAUGGGAGACCACAUGGGAAAACUAGGUUGCUGUUGGAA